GUGCCAGCAGCCGCGGUAAUACCGGCAGCUCAAGUGAUGUCCCAUAUUAUUGGGCCUAAAGCGUCCGUAGCUGGCCGAACAAGUCCGUCGGGAAAUCCACGCGCUCAACGCGUGGGCGUCCAGCGGAAACUAUCCGGCUUGGGGCCGGAAGACUCGAGGGGUACGUCCGGGGUAGGAGUGAAAUCCCGUAAUCCUGGACGGACCACCGGUGGCGAAAGCGCCUCGAGGAGACGGACCCGACGGUGAGGAACGAAAGCCAGGGUCUCGAACCGGAUUAGAUACCCGGGUAGUCC
rnacentral:rRNA from 1 species